AGGAAGUGGAUUUGAGCAGUAGCUUCCGACCGCGAAUGUUCUAAAUUCAAAACAUUUUUCUUUCGCGCUUUUGCUGGUAUUUUACUAAAGCAGCUAACCGUCAAUAAAUGAGAUAUACUGAGUUCCACGAGGCUAGUAAGUGAGCGUAGUUAACGUUAGCUGUGAAGUAAUUAUUUUGCUAGCAGCUAACUAGUUUGUUUCUGGACUCGACCAUUGCCGCUUUGACUGUUGCAUAAUUAUAAGUUCGAUUUGUGUGGUAAGAUUUCAAAUGAGCUAUGGCAGACCCGGCUCUGAUAAAGACUGAAUCCAACUCUAAGAUAUCAUUGGCUGCUGGAGAAAGCCCUAAAACCGAAGACACUUUAGAAGUACCCGUGACCUCGGAUGCAGACACUGAAGAUCCAUCCUCACAAUCAAUUAAGUGUGUUGUUGGAAUAACUAUAACUUAAUAACUAUAACUUAUAAAGAGUGUCAUGAUAUAGAAACAAAUUGCCCCCCAAAGUACUGGAACCCUACAACAACCUCACAACAGAGCUCACUAGCCUGACUCAAUAUAUAGUUAUUAUUUGUUACAUCUUCCCUACAAUCCUGUUUACUUUGCAUGACCUGCUGAAGGACUCUAUGACUGGAGAUGAGGAUGAGGGAACCGCAGGUCACCCUGCUUCCAAAAAGCUGAAAUUGGAGCCUGAGAAGAAAACGGAGAGGUGCCAAAAGGUUGACGAGGAUGACAUACAGAAGAUGCGGGUUUGUCUCUCAUUGUCUGAGGAGCAGCUUUAACUGCUAUGAGAUGUACAGACGAUCUGCCUUCCUUAAAGCUGCUAUAAAGAAGCUGAUACAGUCCAUCACAGGAUCCUCAGUCUCUCAAAAUGUGGUUAUCGCCAUGUCCGGUAUUUGCUGGAGAAAUAGUGGAAGCUGUGGAUAUGUGUGAGAAGAGGGGAGACAUGCCUCCCCUGCAGCCCAAGCACAUGAGGGAGGCUAAAGAACAGAGCAGAUCCCCAAUAUAAAGCACAAUAACAUUCUCUUCCACUGAGCCACUCAUGCCUUGCUGAUUAUAGACUGACAGAGCCAAGUAGGGAUGUAAUUCCACCUUUCAGAUGGUGGCAACUUACACCACUUUAUCAUGUUCAUUCUCUCUAUUCCAAUGUCCACUGGCAUGGAGAAUGUCUGGCCAUGAAGGCAAAUGCAGUAUACUGCUGUCAGGAAUAGUCCGACUCCAAAGUCAACCUGUGUUAGUUGAGGGUAUUUCUUGGAUAUACUUGUCAAUAAUAGAACGUUGGAUGAAAAUAUUAGAUCAACUUAGUGUUUGUAUAUGUGACGCUUUAUUAUUUGAGCUGAAGCAUAAAGCUGAAAGAAUGUAUCCAAAAUUGGUCCCUUCUAGUGCCUCAUGGAAAAAUUGUUUUAAAACCAAAUUUGGGUCAGUAGCUGACAUAUUUCAAUAAAUAAAAUGUAUUAUCUUCUCAUUAAUGACAGGUAGUCUCGUAAAUUGAGUUUGUGUGUGUGCAUGUUAUAGGACACUAACCUCAAGCCUGCACUCUGACCAAUAAAUGUGUAAAAACCAUACUGUGUAAAGAUCAGUCACCACCCUACACUAGGAGAAUAGACGGCACACAAAUAAAGGUUGCGUCAAUAUUUUAUCACUUAGAAAAAUUCUCACAUACUAAUUUGGUUCACAGAACCAAGUUUACAUAAGUAUUAUUGAAUGACAUUAAAACAUCUUGGGUGAGGAAUUCUAAGCAAAUGUUACACAAAUUUGACAAAACACAGUCAAGAGGGUCUCAACAAAUGUAUCAGGACAUUAUCUUCUCUGGGAUGAUUCUCACUGUCACACUAAGAAAGUGCAAUUUCCAGUUAAUGUACCACACUUAAAAGUGCAAAUAAUCCACAGAGCAAAAUAAUAAUCCAUUUGAUUUUUACAUGUACACACUCACUCCUUCCACAACAAUGAGAAUACUAUAUUCUUGCAAAGUCAUUCUAAUAACUAAAGGGACAGAGUAUGCCAGGCCCACCCCCUCAUGCAUGGCACUAUUUGGCUGGCUCCGGGCUGUUGUCAUGGUAACCCAGAUCAGUUGAAGGGGCAGAAGAAGUGUAACUUGACAGGCUGCCCCGUGUGUGAAGAGGAAGCUGGCUGGGGGCUGAGUGGUCACCCUGCUGCGGAUGGAGAGGGUUUACAGAGUUGUUCUAGGGAGGGGGUGAGCAUGGAUUUGAGUCAGUCAUACAACUGCAGCUUUCCUUCCACAUCACUUACAAUAACCAGGUUUAGACGGAUUGGCUGACAACGUCAAGAAAAUGUGCGCGCAUCGAUAUGGCAGGAAGUCGUGCAUUAUGAUUCUGAAAUGUCAGAUGGCAGCCUCUUGUCAUUGUUGCUAGCUAUGUGGGAAAUCAAAUGUGUCUCGUAUCACAGAUUAUCCAUUAUAUUGACCAGAUACUCUAGUGGCUGCUCAAACAAUGAAACGUCUUCAAAAAUGGAAGGCAGUUGGUGGGACCAUUCUAGCCAAUGAGCGUGCAGAUACAUGCACAUCGGUUUCCACUAGUUAUCGUCACAGGCACAAAGUCAAAAUAGGCUACGUGAAAAUAAAUCAACAAAAACGUGCUUUUUGGUCUUAAUUUAAGGUUAGGCAUACGGUUAGCAGUGUGGCUGGGGUUACAUUUAAAAUCACAUUUUAAAAAUAUAUAUUUUAGAAAUGGGCGGUGUUUGCUUUGAAGCUGUGGUAGUUUGUGAAGACCAAACACAAACUAUAAAAGUGUUUUUUUCUCAAAGUUACCGGGUUGUCACGAAUCCUACUUCUAUCAGUAGACUCCUAACAACGUAAUCAUUGCGAAACUUCUAUUUGAUCAAAUAGCUCUUAGCCGUGGUAUAUUGGCCAUAUACCACAACCCCCUGAGGUGGCGUAUUGCUAUUAUAAACUGGUUACCAACGCAAUUAGCGCAGUAAAAAUAAAUGUUUUGUCAAACCCGUGGUAAACGGUACUUUCAGCCAAUCGUCAUUCAGGGCUCGAACCAUCCAGUUUAUAAUGUUAUUGAUACCAUGUCUUGUUUUGACCAAUCUCAUGUCUAUGCUAAUUGUGCAAAUGUAUUUAUGUUUAAAAAUAAAUACAUUUUGAGACAAAAUGUUCUCAAGUAUCUAAGCCUACCCUGUCUGUUUCGCCUACAUCGCUUGUU